rnacentral:rRNA from 1 species
UACAGAGGUCUCAAGCGUUGUUCGGAAUCAUUGGGCGUAAAGCGCACGUAGGCGGCCUGAUAAGUCGGAUGUGAAAUCCCUCGGCUCAACUGAGGACGUGCAUUCGAAACUGCCAGGCUCGAGUAUGGAAGAGGGUCGCGGAAUUCCCGGUGUAGAGGUGAAAUUCGUAGAUAUCGGGAGGAACACCAGUGGCGAAGGCGGCGACCUGGGCCAAUACUGACGCUGAGGUGCGAAAGCGUGGGGAGCAAACAGG